ensembl:snoRNA LOC120093973 small nucleolar RNA SNORA48
UCCCAUUGGCCAUGGGCAAAGAGACAACUUGAUAGUGAUGUUGUUUUUAUAUCAGUUAGGGACAGUCUUUUGUCUAUCCUAGCUUGAUGCCUGGCUUGGUGACCAAAGCUGUUUUACGCCUAGGACACAUAA